CCUGUAUGUGGAUUCGACGCUGUGGAAAGCAGCAAUCAACUUUUUUAUACUUGGAAAAGCAAAGUUGGUUUGCACGCAGAGGCAUCACUUAUCCGCUGUUGUUUCUACAGCUUCAGCUAGCAGCAACCACAGCAGUAGCAGUUCGAUUAUAAAAGGCAGCGACAGUCAAGAAAAAAACUGGAGAAUGGGGAGGACAAGAAUCUAGCAAGGGAGAAGGGCAAAAAGAAAGCCGGUGAUCAAGAUUUCAGGAAAGUCCCGUUGGAAAGGAGAGCCGUCCGAGUCUAGAUCGUGUCCACAUCAG